UCUCUAUGCGGUGUCAGCCGCCGCGGUAAUACGUAGGGUGCAAGCGUUAAUCGGAAUUACUGGGCGUAAAGCGUGCGCAGGCGGUUCGGAAAGAAAGAUGUGAAAUCCCAGAGCUUAACUUUGGAACUGCAUUUUUAACUACCGGGCUAGAGUGUGUCAGAGGGAGGUGGAAUUCCGCGUGUAGCAGUGAAAUGCGUAGAUAUGCGGAGGAACACCGAUGGCGAAGGCAGCCUCCUGGGAUAACACUGACGCUCAUGCACGAAAGCGUGGGGAGCAAACAGGAUUAGAUACCCUGGUAGUCCACGCCCUAAACGAUGUCAACUAGCUGUUGGGGCCUUCGGGCCUUGGUAGCGCAGCUAACGCGUGAAGUUGACCGCCUGGGGAGUACGGUCGCAAGAUUAAAACUCAAAUGAAUUGACGGG
rnacentral:rRNA from 1 species